rnacentral:rRNA from 1 species
CUACGUGCCAGCAGCCGCGGUAAUACGUAGGGCGCGAGCGUUGUCCGGAAUUAUUGGGCGUAAAGAGCUUGUAGGCGGUUUGUCGCGUCUGCUGUGAAAGGCCGGGGCUUAACCCCGUGUAUUGCAGUGGGUACGGGCAGACUAGAGUGCAGUAGGGGAGACUGGAACUCCUGGUGUAGCGGUGGAAUGCGCAGAUAUCAGGAAGAACACCGAUGGCGAAGGCAGGUCUCUGGGCUGUAACUGACGCUGAGAAGCGAAAGCAUGGGGAGCGAACAGGAUUAGAUACCCUGGUAGUCCAUGCCGUAAACGUUGGGCACUAGGUGUGGGGGACAUUCCACGUUUUCCGCGCCGUAGCUAACGCAUUAAGUGCCCCGCCUGGGGAGUACGGCCGCAAGGCUAAAACUCAAAGAAAUUGACGGGGGCCCGCACAAGCGGCGGAGCAUGCGGAUUAAUUCAAUGCAACGCGAAGAACCUUACCAAGGCUUGACAU